UGGCAAAUCCUAACCCCGUCAUCGGCACGUAUGGAGAAAACGAUCCCGCGUCGUUUAGCCUACUGUUCUGAAUAUUCAUCAUUGAUGAAGAAAGCUAUCGUUGCUAUGUUAUUAUAAUGUCAGUAGAUUACAUUUGAGUCGUUGUUCCCUAAACAUGGGCGUCAUUUUGGUAUGGCGAGCAUUGCUGGCAGCAAUAUCGUUAAACAUCCCAGUAUUUUAAAUUGUCCUAUUGUUUGGCGCAAUCAUUCACAACAUUGACGGCUUGCCAUACACAUGGGCACAUGGGGUGUGCAGUAUGUUAGCUGGCACUUGGUUUGUGGAACGAAUGAAUGAACGAAUGGAAAUGAAAACAAUCAUUGUUUGGUGCUUUCUUUACGAAAACGGAGGAAAGAGAUUCCGCAGCACCAGCCCCUGCCAGUGUUCCUUAACCAGACAGGAUCGAUGCUGGUUUUGGUUUUCCAACUAAUCAAGCCCACGUGUCAUUGGCUAACAGCGAUCUAGGACCACAACGGCAAUGGUAAAGCCAUUAACGUUAGUGCUACUACCGCUAGAGAUCAGUGUGGUGCCGUCCACCCGGAGCAGUCGAGUCCCAGGCCCAAUGCUAAAAGCCCCGGCGGUGCACGAGCCAUUUAAUGGAUUAUGCUAAUUGAUUUCCUCUGGGUUAAACUCCCUCAAGAGCAUCAUAUGGUGAAAAACGAUCUGCUGGGAGGUGCAGCUGAAAACCCUUCCCUCUCCAAUCACAGAAAAAACAGCUGCUGUUCAAUGAACAGCUCAGUCUGUAUCAGGAACCAGCCUUUUUUCGCUGCUAAACUUUGGACCCACAAGCGACACAACAGACGCUCGUCCUGGUGACGCGAGCGCGGAGGCCCUCAUUUUGAGACUCCGUCGCAGGACCGCAGGACCGCAGUCAGCAGUUUGGGGAGGAGAGGGGCGCGGUCAAUCAAUUUCAUUUGCUGCACGGAGUCCCAGGUGUACUGUCCUCAGAGUGAAAUAGACCCCGCGUGUGAGGAGAAUUGUUGUUCGUAUACGGCGAGGAAACCGCAGCGUCUGAGUACUGGCAUUCUCCCCGGAUGAAGUGGCCAUUGUGCGAGGUUUCAGCUUGACGUCAUUCUUUGUGACUGGUCCGACACAAACCACUCUUCACGUCCUCUUGACAAAAUGGAACUUUCUGGUGAGGCUUUUUUUUUACACAAGUAUUACUAACAAGCUAAGAUUAAAAAAAUUUUUUUACUCCAGUCCUAGCAGAAUAACAUCGCCUCACUCUUAUAUGUAUUCCGACGGUGAAAUGCUUGAUCCUGUCUGUGUUGUAUUGAUGUAAUGAAGCUGUUUCAUGCCUGUACUCAAAAGACCCGAUCGAUAAGUUCAGGGCCCGAUCGAUUCCCCCAAACCCAAUACCCCAUAUCUUAUUUCUUAAAAAUGAAUCCUUUCCAACUGAGGAUCGCCAUUUUAUUUCAACCUUGUGAACUCAUGAACAUGAAUUCACAAAUCUUAUCUAUAUAUUAUAUUGGGGGAGGCAGUUUUGUGGGUCUAUGUGUAGCAGGCUUUGCCUUUAGCUGACUGCCUUUGAAAUGUAUGGUCGAGUGAGAGGCCCGGGUUCAAACCCACCUCAGACUCAGGAAAAUCUCGAAACUCGUUCAUUACAUAUGAAUCUUUUGUGGGUCUAUGGAUCUUGGUAACAUCAGAUAUUUCAAGAAAACCUGCUUGUGUAUUUUUUUUUUUUUUGUAUUUGAUUUUGAUUUUGUUUUCUUGGCUAGGUAAUUUUCCUAUACAUUUUCUUCCAAAUUGAUGGAAAUCUAAAACAGUAUGUUUGUGCGACAGGUACAAUGCUUAGACAUUAGCAUCAGUGACUGCCGUUCAGCCGAUGGCUGAGAACACAAGAAAAAUACAAAAAUCUUUCUCUGUUCUAAUGCAGAAGCGACAACGAUUAACACUUGUGUUAGCUGUAUUUCCUAGCGUCUGUCUUUUUAAGUUCCUGCGUCAAAAAAAAAAAAACCAUAACAAUCGAAUUUGCGAACGUGUCUCAGCCGCACGAAAGCAUUCGGACGAGAGGAACUGUUUCCAGGAUUUUAGGAGACAGGAAGUGCCGCACAGCCCUCGAAAGCAGAAGAGCGAGACUGAAUCCUGAACUGGGGGUGGGUAGCAGGGGGGGUGGUGUCGGAUGGGGUGCGGUUGAGUGGUAUGGGGGUUGGGUUGGGUUUAUGCUCAGCCAGCCACCCAGAA